CCCGCACAAGCGGUGGAGUAUGUGUUUAAUUCGAUGCAACGCGAAGAACCUUACCUGGUCUUGACAUCCCGGAGACCCUUAGGAAACUAGGGGGUGCUUCCAUCUGGAAGAAUCUGGAGACAGGUGCUGCAUGGCUGUCGUCAGCUCGUGUCGUGAGAUGUUGGGUUAAGUCCCGCAACGAGCGCAACCCUUGCCUUUAGUUGCCAGCAGUUCGGCUGGGCACUCUAAAGGGACUGCCGGUGUUAAACCGGAGGAAGGUGGGGAUGACGUCAAGUCCUCAUGGCCUUUAUGACCAGGGCUACACACGUACUACAAUGGCCGAUACAAAGGGCAGCGACACUGCGAGGUGAAGCCAAUCCCGUAAAAUCGGUCUCAGUCCGGAUUGGAGUCUGCAACUCGACUCCAUGAAGUUGGAAUCGCUAGUAAUCGUGGAUCAGCAUGCCACGGUGAAUACGUUCCCGGGCCUU
rnacentral:rRNA from 1 species